UAUACGAUGAAGAGUUUGAUCCUGGCUCAGGAUGAACGCUAGCGGCAGGCUUAACACAUGCAAGUCGAGGGGUAUAGUUCUUCGGGACUAGAGACCGGCGCACGGGUGCGUAACGCGUAUGCAAUCUACCUUUUACAGAGGGAUAGCCCAGAGAAAUUUGGAUUAAUACCUCAUAGUAUAGUACAAUCGCAUGAUUGAACUAUUAAAGUCACAACGGUAAAAGAUGAGCAUGCGUCCCAUUAGCUAGUUGGUAAGGUAACGGCUUACCAAGGCUACGAUGGGUAGGGGUCCUGAGAGGGAGAUCCCCCACACUGGUACUGAGACACGG
rnacentral:rRNA from 1 species